GAAUGAAAUGAUGAGCAUUAUUGUUUUGAUUGCUAUGAUGAUGGCAAUUAUUGUAUUAGCUCUAACUGAUCAUUC